rnacentral:rRNA from 1 species
UACGUAGGGGGCAAGCGUUGUCCGGAUUUAUUGGGCGUAAAGAGCGUGUAGGCGGCCAGGUAGGUCUGCUGUGAAAACUCGAGGCUUAACCUCGAGAUGUCGGCGGAAACCAUCUGGCUAGAGUCCGGAAGAGGAGAGUGGAAUUCCUGGUGUAGCGGUGAAAUGCGCAGAUAUCAGGAAGAACACCCGUGGCGAAGGCGGCUCUCUGGGACGGUACUGACGCUGAGACGCGAAAGCGUGGGUAGCAAACAGG